rnacentral:rRNA from 1 species
GAGGAAUAUUGGACAAUGGAGGCAACUCUGAUCCAGCCAUGCCGCGUGCAGGAAGAAUGCCCUAUGGGUUGUAAACUGCUUUUAUUUAGGAAGAAACCCCCCAACGUGUUGGGGGCUGACGGUACUAAACGAAUAAGGACCGGCUAACUCCGUGCCAGCAGCCGCGGUAAUACGGAGGGUCCAAGCGUUAUCCGGAAUCAUUGGGUUUAAAGGGUCCGCAGGCGGACUAUUAAGUCAGUGGUGAAAUCUCUUGGCUUAACCAAGAAAUUGCCAGUGAAACUACUAGUCUUGAAUUCGGUCGAAGUGGGCGGAAUGUGUCAUGUAGCGGUGAAAUGCAUAGAUAUGACACAGAACACCGAUAGCGAAGGCAGCUCACUAGGCCUGAAUUGACGCUCAGGGACGAAAGCGUGGGGAGCGAAC